CAAGUCGAGGGGCAGCAGGUCCCGCAGCAAUGCGGGAUGCUGGCGACCGGCAAACGGGUGCGGAACACGUACACAACCUUCCUUUAAGUGGGGAAUAGCCCGGGGAAACCCGGAUUAAUACCCCGUAAUAUAAUGGAGUGGCAUCACUUUAUUAUUAUAGCUCCGGCGCUUGAAGAUGGGUGUGCGACUGAUUAGGCAGUUGGCGGGGUAACGGCCCACCAAACCUACGAUCAGUAACUGGUGUGAGAGCACGACCAGUCACACGGGCACUGAGACACGGGCCCGACUCCUACGGGAGGCAGCAGUAAGGAAUAUUGGUCAAUGGACGCAAGUCUGAACCAGCCAUGCCGCGUGGAGGAUGAAGGUCCUCUGGAUUGUAAACUUCUUUUAUCUGGGAAGAAAUGCAUUUUUUCUAAAAUGCUUGACGGUACCAGGUGAAUAAGCACCGGCUAACUCCGUGCCAGCAGCCGCGGUAAUACGGAGGGUGCAAGCGUUAUCCGGAUUCACUGGGUUUAAAGGGUGCGUAGGUGGGUUGGUAAGUCAGUGGUGAAAUCUCCAGGCUUAACUUGGAAACUGCCAUUGAUACUAUCAAUCUUGAAUACCGUGGAGGUCAGCGGAAUAUGUCAUGUAGCGGUGAAAUGCUUAGAUAUGACAUAGAACACCAAUUGCGAAGGCAGCUGGCUACACGAAUAUUGACACUGAUGCACGAAAGCGUGGGGAUCAAACAGGAUUAGAUACCCUGGUAGUCCACGCCCUAAACGAUGGAUACUCGACAUACGCGAUAUACAGUGUGUGUCUGA
rnacentral:rRNA from 1 species